rnacentral:rRNA from 1 species
UGCCUCAGUAACGGCGAGUGAAGCGGCAACAGCUCAAAUUUGAAAUCUGGCCCCAGGCCCGAGUUGUAAUUUGCAGAGGAUGCUUUUGGUGCGGUGCCUUCCAAGUUCCCUAGAACGGGACGCCAGAGAGGGUGAGAGCCCCGUACAGUUGGACACCAAGCCUUUGUAAAGCUCCUUCGACGAGUCGAGUAGUUUGGGAAUGCUGCUCAAAAUGGGAGGUAUAUUUCUUCUAAAGCUAAAUACCGGCCAGAGACCGAUAGCGCACAAGUAGAGUGAUCGAAAGAUGAAAAGCACUUUGAAAAGAGGGUUAAACAGCACGUGAAAUUGUUAAAAGGGAAGCGCUUGUGACCAGACUUGCGUCCGGUGAAUCACCCAGCUCUCGCGGCUGGGGCACUUCGCCGGCUCAGGCCAGCAUCAGCUCGCUGUCGGGGACAAAAGCUUCAGGAACGUAGCUCUCUUCGGGGAGUGUUAUAGCCUGUUGCACAAUACCCUUCGGCGGGCUGAGGUACGCGCUCCGCAAGGAUGCUGGCAUAAUGGUCAUCAGCGACCCGUCUUGAAACACGGACCAAGGAGUCAACCUUAUGUGCGAGUGUUCGGGUGUCAAACCCCUACGCGUAAUGAAAGUGAACGCAGGUGAGAGCUUCGGCGCAUCAUCGACCGAUCCUGAUGUUCUCGGAUGGAUUUGAGUAAGAGCAUAUAGGGUUGGACCCGAAAGAAGGUGAACUAUGCGUGUAUAGGGUGAAGCCAGAGGAAACUCUGGUGGAGGCUCGCAGCGGUUCUGACGUGCAAAUCGAUCGUCAAAUAUGCGCAUGGGGGCGAAAGACUAAUCGA